CAAAAGACAAUACCGACCCAAAAGAGGUUAAAAACCAGACUGAAAGUGACAAGGUUGUUGAGAACAUUACUGAAAAUACAGAAGUUGAAAAGACUGAGAGUUCUUCCAUAAUGGAGGGUGAAAAAGAACCUGUAGCUGUGGCAACGAAAGGAGAGCAGGCAGUGGCAGAAGUUAAGGAAGAGAAAAAGGAAGAGGAAAAAAAAGAGGAGCAGAAGAAAGAAGAAAAUAGUGAAGAGAAGAGCAAUGAAGAGCAAUUGGCGAAAACUCCUGAGGAAGAAUCCAAAGAGGUAGCAGAUCAAAAGAGAGAAAAGGAAGAAAAGCAAAAACAGGAAGAGGAAAGGCUGAAAAAAGAAGAAGAGGAUAGAAAGAAAAUGGAAGAGGAGGAAGAGGAAAGAAAAAGGAAAGAAGCUGAGGAUGCAGAGAGGAAAAGAAAGGAGGAAGAGGAACAAAAGCAGAAGGAAGAGGAGGAAAAAAAGCAGAAAGAAGCUGAGGAAGAAAAAAGGAAAAAGGAAGAGGAAGAACAAAAAUUAAAGGAAGAGGAGGAAAGAAGGCUCAAAGAAGAGGAAGAAAGGAAGCAGAGGGAGGCUGAAGAGGAGGAGAGAAAGAGAAAAGAAGAAGAGGAGAAGCUUGAGUCUACACUAUUAAACCAAAAUGCAGACAAAGAGACCAUGAAAUCGCUGAUUGAGGAGAAUGUCAGACUGAAGGAAGAUAUGGAGAAAAUGAAAGGAGAUUAUGAACUGAUCAAGGAUAAGGAAUCCAAAAUCUCCCAAGUAGAGAAAGAAAAUCAAGAAAAGUCUGAGCAAAUAAAGAAACUUGAGGUGGAGCUAGAGAAACUCAAAGUUCAGGUAUCGAACGGAACAGGAAGCGAAGGAUCAGCGCAGAAGAUAUCCGACUUGGAGAAAAAGCUCAUUCGAUUGGCGAAGGAGGAUGAGGAGAAAGACAAACAGAUUACCUCCCUUAACAAAGAGCUACAGCAAACCAAGACAGAACUGCAGAAGAUGGAGAGAGGGGCACCAGCUGAAGGUGGGAACCAGCCAUCCAAGUCUUGUGUAAUCUUGUAGGUCCUGAGUCAAACUGCAUACUUUACAACUGUUUUUUCUGCUGGUGCAAGUUUUUGCAUUUUGAUCCCAAUAUAAAUUUUUACAAAUUUUUUGCAAUUUUUAGAUUAAUUAAUAAAUUUUUAAAGCACCAAUGUUUAAAAAAGUGAUUGAUUUUUUAAAUUUUUGGUAAUUGAGAUAAUACCAUGAAAUUUUGCAAAGGAGGUAGCAGUCAGAAAAAUCCAUUUCUUUGGUUUGUACUUCAUAUGCAUCAGAGGUGCUCAGUAGGGGUUUCUUCAUGUAUUUAUUGCUGACCAUGAACUAGUAAUUCCUCUUAACUUAUUUAUUCUGUCACAAUUGUUUUACUGUAAGAGAGUCUUAUAUUCUUAUAUUUGUAAGACUGUGGUUCAAAUAAUGGUACCCUUGUAAUUAUUUUCUGAAUUAACAGAAAAUUAUGUACAAUUUACAUUGUGUUUUGAUACAUGUAAUGUCCUUUUUUGUUGUGUAUCAUAAGCUCAUCAAAGCAAGCGUGAUUUUUGUAUGCUAGUCAGGAUCAAUAUACAUGUAUACAUGUGUGCAACUUGACUUGUACUUAUAUUGUACCAAGGCAUUUAGAUUUAACUGGGAGUUUAUAUUGUUUUGUUCCGUCCAUUUUAUUUUAAAAAAAAAACUUUAUCUCAUAUUUUUGUUAUUUCCUAUCCAUGGAAUAAUAAAAUGUUAAUGCAUUUAGAAUCAAGAAUUAAUUCAAGAACUUUAUAUUUGAACAAUGCUGUUUUUGUAUAUGGAUUUGUUCAAGCUGAAUAAUCUAAUGCUCUUCUUACUAGAUGUUUUAUACUACAUUGUAAUGAAUUGUACAUGUAAUUAAGAAACCAAUUGAUUAAACAAUUUGUCUAUCUUC
rnacentral:misc_RNA from 1 species